AUUUUCACUCAGUGCACAAAACCCUCAAAAAUCAUUUUAAUUGAAGACGAAGAAUCUCGAAGUGCGGUUCCGAUUCAGCUUCAAUUCGACAAACCUAAAUGCUUCACAGGUCAUUUUCUCUCUCAACACGGUGUCGUUUUCAACAGUGCAGAUAAAAAUUGCUGAAUGGAAUCCGGAAAAAAAGGAUUUAAUAAUUUAAUUAGCCAUGGCACAGAGGAAUCGAAGCUUCUCCUUCAUCGCUUCAAUUGGCAGAUAAUUUUUUACCAUCUCCCCCUUCGGAAGAACAAACUGUGUUGGUUGCUAUCGAAAUGAAGUAACUGCAGCGUCCGAGAGCUCCGGUAGUGCUUGUUAUACGAUGAUUUUACGAGCGGCCGAUCUUUCGCUUGUGUCUAUUUAAAGAGGGGGAAUUACGGAUCACAUUACGGUACCUGGACUUGGAGAACGAAAAGGUUCGACAAAUUUCUCACUUUAUGGUUGCUUCAUAGGCAGUUAGCGGUAAGUUUUAUAUGUUCAAUAAUUGGCUGAUUUCGCAUCGGUUUCAUUUUAUGAGUGUGAUUAGUCUUGAUGUAUAUUUAUAUAUUAGUAAAUGGUGAAAUUACAGUUUUUACCCCUAAAGUUUAUACCGAUUUCACAUUUGGUCCCUCAUGUUCCAAUAAUUUAACACCUUUGGUCAUCCGUCAAUUUACAGUUAGUCCGUCAGUUAAGGCAGUAAUGGACACACGUUUGAUUCCGUUAGUUUUAACGGGUAAUUGACGGAAAUGACUAUAAGUGCUGAGUUUUCGAAACACAAGUGACCAAAUGUGAUUUUUGUUAAUAUAGAGGACCAAAUAUGAAAUCGGUGCAAACUUGAGGGACAAAAUUUGUAUUUUUCCCAUUAGUUAAUCAAAGCUAAUUUUUCAAAUGAUAGCAUGAUUUGAGUCUCAUAAUUUGUCUGGCAAUUUGUUCGAUAAUAUCGAUCAAACAAAAAAAAGGCUUGAUAUGAUAUCUACUACAAGUCUAUAACAAAGUUUUCACAUCGUGAAUGGAAUGACGAAUAUAACCCUCUAUUGUGUGGCAUAUGGUUUUGGUGCAAGAAAACGAGCCUCGGUGUACAUCCCAGAAGAAGAUGAAGAUGAAAUUACUCUUCAGUCCUUACUGAUCCAGCACAUUCGCCUGCUAUUAAGAUGGAACUUACAUUCAUGAGGAACGAAGAGGGCAAUAAGAAUUGCAGAGACGAAAAUAAAACGAGCAGUAUUGUAAGAAGCCAUUGAAAUGUUUGCUUAAUUACUGUGGAAUGAAUUGCAUUGUGAGUCGUUUAUAAUCCUAUUUAUAGCUGUCAAACAACUGUGUUUACUGCUAAUUUGGUUAAUUAAUCCAAUUGCAAUAAUCAUUAUGAUUAUUUGAUUCAUAUAAUUAAUUCAAAUAUGCGAAUAUAUGGUGUAUGCAUUACUAUUUGAUACUAUUUAUAAUUAAUUCAAAUCUGAUAAUUAAGAUGGUAUAUACAUAAUCAGUCAAAUGACAAAUCUGAUAAUAUAUGGAUGCAUUAUAUCACUUAAAUCGGAUUGAGCAUGACCUUGAAUUAUUAAUUGUGUUUUUGCUAAUUAUUAAUAUGCAUGAAUUACUUUG